GACGAACGCUGGCGGCGUGCUUAACACAUGCAAGUCGAACGGAAAGGCCCUGCUUUUGUGGGGUGCUCGAGUGGCGAACGGGUGAGUAACACGUGAGUAACCUGCCCUUGACUUUGGGAUAACUUCAGGAAACUGGGGCUAAUACCGGAUAGGAGCUCCUGCUGCAUGGUGGGGGUUGGAAAGUUUCGGCGGUUGGGGAUGGACUCGCGGCUUAUCAGCUUGUUGGUGGGGUAGUGGCUUACCAAGGCUUUGACGGGUAGCCGGCCUGAGAGGGUGACCGGCCACAUUGGGACUGAGAUACGGACCAGAGUCCUACGGGAGGCAGCAGGGGGGAAUAUUGCACAAUGGGCGGAAGCCUGAUGCAGCAACGCCGCGUGCGGGAUGACGGCCUUCGGGUUGUAAACCGCUUUCGCCUGUGACGAAGCGUGAGUGACGGUAAUGGGUAAAGAAGCACCGGCUAACUACGUG
rnacentral:rRNA from 1 species